rnacentral:misc_RNA from 1 species
UACGUCGAUCCUAGAAACCAACAAAAUAGAAUCAAACGUCCUAUUCCGUUAUUCCAUGCUAAUGUAUUCAAGCGUGAGCCUGCUUUAAACACUCUAAUUUUUUCAAAGUAACAGUCCUGAUUCCCCAAAACACCAAAUUAAUGGCAUUAAGAUUCGUCAGAAAGGAGAAACCAAUAAUACCAGUACGUACAAAAGCACGACCAAUA